AUUUGAUCUGAAAUCAGGCGG
rnacentral:rRNA from 2 species